rnacentral:rRNA from 1 species
GGGAAUAUUGCGCAAUGGGCGAAAGCCUGACGCAGCAACACCGCGUGGAGGAUGAAGCUUUUCGGAGCGUAAACUCCUGUCAGCAGGGAAUAUAAUGACUGUACCUGCAGAGGAAGCAUCGGAUAACUACGUGCCAGCAGCCGCGGUAAUACGUAGGAUGCAAGCGUUGUCCGGAAUUAUUGGGCGUAAAGAGUUCGUAGGUGGUUAUCUAAGUCUGGUGUUAAAGACGGGAGCUCAACUCCCGCAUGGCAUCGGAAACUGGAUGGCUAGAGUGUGAAAGAGGUAACUGGAAUUCCUGGUGUAGCGGUGAAAUGCGCAGAUAUCAGGAGGAACACCUGUGGCGAAAGCGAGUUACUGGCUCAUUACUGACACUGAGGAACGAAAGCUAGGGUAGCAAAA